NNNNNNNNNNNNNNNNNNNNNNCCCCCCGUGCCCCGUCCCCGUCCCCGCUCACCCAGCGGGCUUUCUCCUUCCUCCGCUCCUCCGCCUCCAGCCGCGCCUGCUCCUUCCUGCCGGGACGGGGACCCUCAGGGCCGGCACCGGGGCCGCCGCCGGGGCUCGGGGACCGCGGGGACCGCGGGGACCGCGGGGACGGGGCGGGGGCGGCUGCGUGCCCCCGGGGGUGCCGCGCUCACCGGUGCUCCUCGAUCAGCCGCUCCUUCUCCCUGAAGCGCUGCUCGCGCUCGGCCGCCUCCCGCCUCUCCUCCUCCAUCCGCUCCCGCUCCCACCGCCGCCGCUCCUCCAGCAGCCGCCGCCGCUCCUCCUCCUUGCGCUGCUCCUCUUCGCGCUGCGCCGGGCGGCACCGGGCUCAGCGGGGCCGGGACCCCCGGGAGCGGCACCGGGGCCGGGCCCGGGCCCCCCGGGAGCGGCGGCCGCGCGGGGCCCCCCGGCCCUCACCUCGGCCUGCGCCCAGAAGGAGUCCCGCUGCGUCCGGCGGAUCUCCAGCGCCGGGUUCGUCUUGCGGUAGUUGGUGCCCUGCGGGGACCGGCCGGGCCUCAGGGCGGCCCCGCGGCGGCGCCGAGCACCCGGGGGGGCGCCCUCGCCCCGCCGGUCCCGGUGCCCGGUCCCCGGCCCCGCCGGCCCCGCUCACCACCAGCUCCUCGGUGUCGGCCGGGGGGGCCCUCCUGGCCGGGGGGGCCGCGGCGGGGGCCAGCUGGGCCAGAGCGCGGCUCAGCCCCUCCUGGGUCACCUCCUCGGCGCGCCGGGCGCUCAGCACCACGCUGGCCUCCUGCCGCCAGACGGGGACGGCGUCAGCCCCGAGCACCCGCGGGGGUGCCAAAGCGCCGGCAGCCGCAGCCCCCCCCCGAGCGCUCCCCAGGGAGUCCCGGCGCCGUUCCCCGCCGCGUGCGCGCGCCCGACGGAUCCGGGCGCGGGCCGUCCCGCAGGGCGGGCUGGGGCAGCGUCCCCGCUGCUGCGGGGCCGGGCAGGAUCCGGCCGGGGCAGGGAGCCCAGCCACAGCCCCGGGUCGGCGGCCAAGGCUGGGAACUGGGAACGGCGGCGCCUGAGUCAGCAGCGCCAGGAAUGCACUGAGCGCAGCAAGCAAAGGUCGGGGCUGCCCCGGGCUGGGGGGCGGGAGGAGGCGCGGGGGGAGCCCCCCCGGGGCGGGGCCGCCCCCGGCCCCCCGCCGGCCCCGACUCACCCUGAAGAAGGCUCUGAUGGCCGGCAGGUGCCCCGCGCACGCCUGCCGCUGGGACUCGGGCGUCUUCUCCCCGACCUGGCACGGGCACAGGCGGCUCAGGGCU
rnacentral:lncRNA from 1 species